ACAUGCGUGGGCUUAUAAGAGACCUGACUAGAUUAGCUGAAAUGAAAGGACUUCUCACCGAACAACCUUUUGACGUGUUUGAGGAAAGCCCCCAAUUCAGAAGAGCCCAUCCUGCUGUUAGAGUGGAUAAAAUGUUUGAGGAGAUACAGGCUAAACUACCUGGGGUGCCGCUCUUCCU